AAGUCGUAACAAGGUCUCCGUUGGUGAACCAGCGGAGGGAUCAUUACCGAGUUUUUACUCUAAACCCUGCGAACCUACCAUUACGUGCUUCGGCGGCCAGCCCCGGGGGGGCGCCCUACGGCCGCCGAUAGUACCCAAAAAAUCACUUUUCAGAGUCUUCUGAGUGACAAAAAAAAACAAGUCAAAACCUUCAACAACGGAUCUCUUGGUUCUG
rnacentral:misc_RNA from 1 species